rnacentral:lncRNA from 10 species
CCAGAACCAGUCCCUGCUGGGUGGUCCCCAGUCAGAAUUACAGAAAUCAGCCUCUUGGCCAAUCAAACUUAGGGCUGGUGGCACAGAAGAGUGGGGCUGUGUGUCAGCAUCUGGAGGGGGUGAGCUGCACCUGAGUGAGUGUGGCUUUCCUAGUGGCCAGCGCUGGUUUAGCUGCUAGAGAAAAAGAACCCUCCUGGCCGGCAGCCCCUGGUUUCUGCUUUUCAGUGUCUUGUGCGUGACUCCACCCCUGCCAGGCAGGGCCUCAGGUCUUGUUGAUCAUUUGCUGUCUUAUCACCACAAGGAACCUGUUUUGUCAGUCUCCUCUUUAUGUUCACCUUCAUGCUGGUGAGUGUGGUGUCCCAACCACAGACGGAGGGGCUGUCACGCGGCGGGUCCCACCUCCCACUCUGUCAUGGCGGGAUUUUUGUCAUGUUUUUCAGAUUUCUCUGGAAUCCCCUUGGCCAAGAAGGGUCCAUUCAGCUUGUUGGUGCGGGAGCUCAGGAUUUCAUUUUUAGUUCUCACAUGGCAGGGCGCAGACUGACCACUCUGUUCCCACACCUGGCUCAAGCUCGUCUCCCCCGAGAGCCACAGGGAGUGCUGGACCCGCCUGAGCGGGGGGCAUAUGGGGCUCAGCACAGCACUGUGGGGCCUGGAUGAGAAGCCGCUGGUCUCUUCUGCCCCUCCCUGACAUUGAGGACUGGAACCUUGGGGAGCCUUGGGUGAGGUCGCCUCCCAGGAAGUCCUGAGCUGAGACAUCGCGGGCCCAUUUUGAGGUGGCUGUGAGGGGUACAGGUGAGUGUACUUGGGGUUCCUUCAAGGCCAGGCCCAGCAGGUCACCUGCAGAAGGCCUUGGGCAGGUGCCCCCCACCCCGUCCUGGAACACCAUUCUUCCCCAUCGCCCCAGAGGACCAGGCCCAGGCAAGGCUGGGAAUGCUUAGCCGACCUGCUCAGCAUGAAGCUCCUGCCCCAACCCCCUCCUUCCAGGUGCCCGGCCUGGGCUCUGCCAGAGGCUGAGGUGCCCAGGGUGUCAGGACGGCCACCCUGAAGGCCCUACCCCUUUAUAGGAAAUAAAGUCUUCUUUCCAAAUUUAUAGAUGUGGGAUUUGUUCAGUGGACAUAGCUCACCCGGGGCAUUUUAGGAAUUUACCCAAAAGACAUAAAAGUCUGC